rnacentral:rRNA from 1 species
GACGAACGCUGGCGGCGUGCUUAACACAUGCAAGUCGAACGGAAAGGCCCUGCUUUUGUGGGGUGCUCGAGUGGCGAACGGGUGAGUAACACGUGAGUAACCUGCCCUUGACUUUGGGAUAACUUCAGGAAACUGGGGCUAAUACCGGAUAGGAGCUCCUGCUGCAUGGUGGGGGUUGGAAAGUUUCGGCGGUUGGGGAUGGACUCGCGGCUUAUCAGCUUGUUGGUGGGGUAGUGGCUUACCAAGGGUUUGACGGGUAGCCGGCCUGGGAGGGUGACCGGCCACAUUGGGACUGAGAUACGGCCCAGACUCCUACGGGAGGCAGCAGUGGGGAAUAUUGCAAAAUGGGCGGAAGCCUGAUGCAGCAACGCCGCGUGCGGGAUGACGGCCUUCGGGUUGUAAACCGCUUUCGCCUGUGACGAAGCGUGAGUGACGGUAAUGGGUAAAGAAGCACCGGCUAACUACGUG